rnacentral:rRNA from 1 species
UACGUAGGGUGCGAGCGUUGUCCGGAAUUAUUGGGCGUAAAGAGCUCGUAGGCGGUGUGUCACGUCGGCCGUGAAAACCUGGGGCUCAACCCCGGGCCUGCAGCCGAUACGGGCAGACUAGAAUUCGGUAGGGGAGACUGGAAUUCCUGGUGUAGCGGUGAAAUGCGCAGAUAUCAGGAGGAACACCGGUGGCGAAGGCGGGUCUCUGGGCCGAUAUUGACGCUGAGGAGCGAAAGCGUGGGGAGCGAACAGG